rnacentral:rRNA from 1 species
CAGCAUGAUGUGUAGCAAUACACGUUGAUGGCGAGUGGCGAACGGGUGAGUAAUAUAUCGGAACAUGUCCUGUAGCGGGGGAUAACCUAUCGAAAGAUGGACUGAUACCGCAUACGCUCUACGGAGGAAAGCGGGGGUCGCAAGACCUCGCACUAUAGGAGUGGCCGAUAUCGGAUUAGCUAGUUGGCGGGGUAAAAGCCCACCAAGGCGACGAUCCGUAGCUGGUCUGAGAGGAUGAUCAGCCACACUGGAACUGAGACACGGUCCAGACUCCUACGGGAGGCAGCAGUGGGGAAUUUUGGACAAUGGGCGCAAGCCUGAUCCAGCCAUGCCGCGUGAGUGAAGAAGGCCUUCGGGUUGUAAAGCUCUUUCGGCAGGAACGAAAUGGUUCGUGCUAAUACCACGGAUUGAUGACGGUACCUGAAGAAGAAGCACCGGCUAACUACGUGCCAGCAGCCGCGGUAAUACGUAGGGUGCAGGCGUUAAUCGGAAUUACUGGGCGUAAAGCGUGCGCAGGCGGUUUCUUAAGUCAGAUGUGAAAGCCCCGGGCUUAACCUGGGAACUGCGUUUGAAACUGGGAGACUUGAGUGUGGCAGAGGGGGGUGGAAUUCCACGUGUAGCAGUGAAAUGCGUAGAUAUGUGGAGGAACACCGAUGGCGAAGGCAGCCCCCUGGGUUAACACUGACGCUCAUGCACGAAAGCGUGGGGAGCAAACAGGAUUAGA